UGAUGCUAUCUAGGAGGUGUUGGAUCAGAAGUUCCUGAAGUGAAUCAUAGGCGAAUAUGCGUAGAAUGAGCUGUCCUGAUAGCAACCCAAGGUUGCGUAUCAGUGUAAACGCUACAUUGAUAAGUGAUUUAUGACACGGUUGCACACGAUUUCUUCCUGUCGUCGUUUAUACUGGGUUAUUGUGGAUAUGCUGUGCCCAUUGCCCGUGGAUCCAGGGAGAGACGUCCUGAUGGUUCGUGGACGCCUUUAAAACACUGCUGUUGGUUACCACAGUGGGGACAAGAGACGGAAGAGAAACAAUAAAAUGCAGAUUUCAGGAGGAGCGGAUACAGCUGUCAGGUCACUGGACGCCCUGUAUAUGCCAUACAAGAGAUAAAUAACUGAGGAGUAAAGAUGACUCAUAUGCCUCAUAAAGUACAGAAAAUUCAACUCUUAUCAGCGACAACAAGAGAGAGGAGGCACUACGUCAAAAUGACACUGAAGAUGAUUCCACGUCGGGCCCCACGAGUUGUUCAUCGAACUGUCGGAGCACCAUCCGCUUCCAGUGCUGCAGGGACAACUUCCCUACCCAAAACUUUGGCUCUUCCCUGGAACAACAACAACAACUUCAUUUUUGUGGAGAUGACUUGGGUGUUUCAUCGCCAUCUUUGAUGGAGACUGACACCAACACCACUCAAUGCUGAGGAAUUUUUAGUUUGUUCUAAGAUGGUUGGUAGACACCCUAUGAAGGAAGCCAUUGGCUCUCCCUUACAGACCAAUGAGCAAUGGAAUGAGACAAAUGCAAACCCAACAUAAGGAGGCACUGGGAACACCAGCGGAAGGCGGGAAGGCGGAUAAGUGGCCCUGAGGUGACUUCAACUGGUUAAAAAAACAGCAUUCUUUAAUGUGGAAAAAGUUCUGGUGUACGUGUUUCUUGACACAAACAAUCCUCUUCAGCAAAAAAAUUAUAGGAUGUGUGGAAAAUUUCAAAGCCUCUUUAAUGUUCAGCUUGCAGCU